AAUGAACGUUGGCGGCGUGGAUUAGGCAUGCAAGUCGUACGAGAAGCCAAUUAGCUUGCUAAGAGGCGGACAGUGGCGAAAGGGAGAGUAACGCGUGGUUACGUGCCCUCGAGACCGGGAUAGUGUCGGGAAACUGGCAGUAAUACCGGAUAAUAUCUUCGGAUCAAAGGUGUGAUUCCGCUCGAGGAUUGGACCGCGUACUAUUAGCUUGUUGGCGGGGUAAUGGCCCACCAAGGCUGCGAUGGUUACCGGGUGUGAGAGCAUGGCCCGGCUCACUGGGACUGAGACACUGCCCAGACACCUACGGGUGGCUGCAGUCGAGAAUCUUCGGCAAUGGACGAAAGUCUGACCGAGCGACGCCGCGUGCGGGAUGAAGGCCCUCGGGUUGUAAACCGCUGUCAGUUAGGAGGAAAUCCAUGGGGGUUCUCCCUCAUGGUUGACCGAUUUUCAGAGGAAGGACGGGCUAAGUUCGUGCCAGCGCCGCGGUAA
rnacentral:rRNA from 1 species